AAUGGUCAUUACCAAGGCUUUGAGGAA
rnacentral:piRNA from 1 species